AUUUUGCUAGAGAUUCCUGUGUACCUGGGACCUUCUGAAGGAGCAGAUGAACCGUGCCAAAGGCUGAAUGCCUGGAAAUCCCCAGCAUGAAAGUCUUACGAUGAGCCCCAUAUGCAAUCUACCGCUGCCUUAGUAGAGGUAAGAAUUGAGGUUCCAAGUUGUCCCUUGCCUUAACUGGACCUGCUGGUAGAAGUGUACCAGAGAAAACUUCCUUACACUUUGUGGCACUUGAUAGUGCUGUUCAACACACGUGCAGAGUGGCGGCCCUGAGCACACCUCGUUGCAAGCUGCUUUGGGUUUAUGGUCCCUCUGUGGUCUUUGGGUAGCAUACUGGUCCUAGCUGGAGGAGUUUACAGCCAUGUUCUGGAAGACACAUUCUUUGUACUUACCUGUUAGAUUUUCAUAGAAGCUAUGUGUAUUUCCUAACAAGAUACAAAUGAUGGACUUGGUAUUCUUAGUGAUCUAUCCCUCUGCCUUCAAUCCAUUCUCCUGCAUAUCUUUUUGCUUUCCUUUCAUUGCAAUCAUGUUAACUGUGUACUGUAGCCAUUGCUGUCCGUGAUGUAUUUGUUUCAAAGCAUUUUACUUGUUAAGAGAGAGUUGGAUAACAAGUAAUAAAAAAAAUCCAAGCAUGUGACCAUUUGAUUGGUAAGUUUUGAGUGCAGUCCUACCAUCAUAAUGAAAGAGCAGAUCCCACAGAAUAAUACAAUGGAAGAAUAAUCUUUGCCACAGGGGAACUCUUGCAAGCAAAAUCAAUCUUGAUAGCUGUUUCUGUGGUUUAGAUGAAAUUAAUAGGCCGAGGGUGGGAAUGUAAUCCCAUGUUAACAACAUUUUUCAUGGCACCAUGAGCUGUGUAUCAUGCUCUCCUCAUGCAGUUGUGACCAUUUUUCAUAUAUCAAUACAUUAUGAUUCACCGUGAUGUACACAGAAACCAAAAGUCCAGAUGACGUUUUAGGGCUGUAACUGAAAGUUGGGGUUAUUUCUGUAGUUUAGCGUCUUGUUUUGUGAUUGUUGUUAGUUUUUUAUUUAUUCUUUUACGAAGAUGAUUCUAUUUUCUGUCUCUAUGAGAGGUUUACUUCUACAUUUAAGUAAUUUGCUAUUCUGCAGGGCCCACUUUAAGGAUUACAGGAAAAUUUAGCUUGGGCUUUUAAUACAAUGAAAUGACUGUUUUUUUUAAUCUAAUUGCAGUUUGUUUAAUUUUAUGUCCAGCUUAGAGCUUUAAACUUCUUGUAAAACACUGCAUAAAGUACUGGGAGUUCUUGUACUUCCUAAUUCUGUCUGGCAUUUACAACAAUUCUUUCACUAUCAGUGAGGGUAUGGCUCCUAGCUCUGCCAAGACGGACUUAAAGGCCAAUCUUCUCCAUUGAUAUGAAUAGGAGACUUUCUGUGGAUUUGGGGGGGGUUGAUUUGGACUCUUUAUUACUUUAUUGCUUCACCUUUGCAAGCUGAAUUCCAGGCAGUUCUCCAUGGUAAAAAUCUUGGUGCUAUUGAAGUCACUGGGAUAUUUCCUGUGGAAUGCGAAGGAGUCCAGAUUUUAACUCGGAUGUUUAAUAACUCACAAUUUAAAAUAAAUCCUAGAGCUGGAAAUAGGUUGACUUGGACAUUCUGCUUUGAAACAGGCACAGGUGAUUAAGAUGGAAGAAAACUUCCAUACUGAAGCUUGAUUAAGGUCAGAGUGACUAUUAGAUGCUUGGUGUUAACUACAGCUGUAUGGGACAGAAUUUAUCAAAGUCUGCUAUUAGCCCGUUAAAGGAAAGCCUG
ensembl:lncRNA